CCUACGGGUGGCAGCAGUGAGGAAUAUUGGUCAAUGGACGCAAGUCUGAACCAGCCAUGCCGCGUGCAGGAAGACGGCUCUAUGAGUUGUAAACUGCUUUUGUACGAGGGUAAAUCCCGAUACGUGUAUCGGGUUGAAAGUAUCGUACGAAUAAGGAUCGGCUAACUCCGUGCCAGCAGCCGCGGAAAUACGGAGGAUUCAAGCGUUAUCCGGAUUUAUUGGGUUUAAAGGGUGCGUAGGCGGACAGUCAAGUCAGCGGUAAAAAUGCGGUGCUCAACGCCGUACAGCCGUUGAAACUGGCAGUCUUGAGUGGGCGAGAAGUGUGCGGAAUGCGUGGUGUAGCGGUGAAAUGCAUAGAUAUCACGCAGAACUCCGAUGGCGAAGGCAGCAAACCGGCACCCGACUGACGCUGAGGCGCGAAAGCGUGGGUUUCGAACAGGAUUAGAUACCCGGGUAGUC
rnacentral:rRNA from 1 species